CGGGGAUGGAGGCGGCCAGCAGCAGCCGCCGCAGCAGGUGGAGCCGUUCGCGCUGCACAACGAGGCAUCCACCCUGUUCGCGGCGCUGCCGGCGCCGUCGCUCUCCGACAUCCUCGGCGCCUCCGCUGGCGGCGGCGACGGCGACGAGUCGCCCUCGCCGUCCGCGUCGCCGGACGGGGGUUCCGGGGGGUCGGAGUUGCCGUGCGCCCAAGAGGAGGACCUGGCG
rnacentral:lncRNA from 1 species